CCUACGGGAAGCAGCAGUGAGGAAUAUUGGUCAAUGGACGGAAGUCGGAACCAGCCAAGCCGCGUGCAGGAUGAAGGCGCAAUGAGUUGUAAACUGCUUUUGUACGAGGGUAAACCCCGAUACGUGUAUCGGGUUGAAAGUAUCGUACGAAUAAGGAUCGGCUAACUCCGUGCCAGCAGCCGCGGUAAUACGGAGGAUCCGAGCGUUAUCCGGAUUUAUUGGGUUUAAAGGGUGCGUAGGCGGUAUGAUAAGUUAGAGGUGAAAUGUCGGGGCUCAACCCCGAAACUGCCUUGGAUACUGUUGGACUAGAGAGUAGUUGCGGUAGGCGGAAUGUAUGGUGUAGCGGUGAAAUGCUUAGAGAUCAUGCAGAACACCGAUUGCGAAGGCAGCUUACCAAACUAUAUCUGACGUUGAGGCACGAAAGCGUGGGUAGCAAACAGGAUUAGAUACCCUAGUAGUC
rnacentral:rRNA from 1 species